rnacentral:rRNA from 1 species
UUCCAGACUCCUACGGGAGGCAGCAGUGGGGAAUAUUGCACAAUGGGGGAAACCCUGAUGCAGCGACGCCGCGUGAGUGAAGAAGUAUUUCGGUAUGUAAAGCUCUAUCAGCAGGGAAGAAAAUGACGGUACCUGACUAAGAAGCCCCGGCUAACUACGUGCCAGCAGCCGCGGUAAUACGUAGGGGGCAAGCGUUAUCCGGAUUUACUGGGUGUAAAGGGAGCGUAGACGGCAUGGCAAGUCAGAUGUGAAAGCCCGGGGCUCAACCCCGGGACUGCAUUUGAAACUGUCAGGCUGGAGUGCAGGAGAGGUAAGUGGAAUUCCUAGUGUAGCGGUGAAAUGCGUAGAUAUUAGGAGGAACACCAGUGGCGAAGGCGGCUUGCUGGACGGUAACUGACGUUGAGGCUCGAAAGCGUGGGGAGCAAACAGGAUUAGAUACCCCCGUA